rnacentral:tRNA from 1 species
AAGACUUUAGUAAAAUUAUUACAUGGCCCUGUCAGAGCUAAAUUGCAGGUCUCAUAGCCUGUGAGUCUUAA